rnacentral:rRNA from 1 species
UACAGAGGGGGCAAGCGUUGUUCGGAAUUACUGGGCGUAAAGGGCGCGUAGGCGGCCUGUUAAGUCGAACGUGAAAUCCCCGGGCUCAACCGGGGAACUGCACGGGAAACUAGCAGGCUUGAGUUCGGGAGAGGGAAGCGGAAUUUCGGGUGUAGCGGUGAAAUGCGCAGAUAUCCGAAGGAACACCGGUGGCGAAGGCGGCUUCCUGGACCGACACUGACGCUGAGGCGCGAAAGCUAGGGGAGCAAACGGG